rnacentral:rRNA from 1 species
GCUUAGAUUCUUCGGAUGAAGAGGAUUGUGACUGAGCGGCGGACGGGUGAGUAACGCGUGGGUAACCUGCCUCAUACAGGGGGAUAACAGUUAGAAAUGACUGCUAAUACCGCAUAAGACCACAGCACCGCAUGGUGCAGGGGUAAAAACUCCGGUGGUAUGAGAUGGACCCGCGUCUGAUUAGCUAGUUGGUAAGGUAACGGCUUACCAAGGCGACGAUCAGUAGCCGACCUGAGAGGGUGACCGGCCACAUUGGGACUGAGACACGGCCCAAACUCCUACGGGAGGCAGCAGUGGGGAAUAUUGCACAAUGGGGGAAACCCUGAUGCAGCGACGCCGCGUGAGUGAAGAAGUAUUUCGGUAUGUAAAGCUCUAUCAGCAGGGAAGAAAAUGACGGUACCUGACUAAGAAGCACCGGCUAAAUACGUGCCAGCAGCCGCGGUAAUACGUAUGGUGCAAGCGUUAUCCGGAUUUACUGGGUGUAAAGGGAGCGUAGACGGAUGGGCAAGUCUGAUGUGAAAACCCGGGGCUCAACCCCGGGACUGCAUUGGAAACUGUUCAUCUAGAGUGCUGGAGAGGUAAGUGGAAUUCCUAGUGUAGCGGUGAAAUGCGUAGAUAUUAGGAGGAACACCAGUGGCGAAGGCGGCUUA